GGAAACUCGAGCUAAUACCGCAUACGCUCUACGGAGGAAAGCAGGGGAUCUUCGGACCUUGCACUAUUGGAUGAGCCUAAGUCGGAUUAGCUUGUUGGUGAGGUAAAGGCUCACCAAGGCGACGAUCCGUAGCUGGUCUGAGAGGACGAUCAGCCACACUGGGACUGAGACACGGCCCAGACUCCUACGGGAGGCAGCAGUGGGGAAUAUUGGACAAUGGGGGCAACCCUGAUCCAGCAAUGCCGCGUGUGUGAAGAAGGCCUGCGGGUUGUAAAGCACUUUCAGUAGAGAAGAAAAGCCUAGGGUUAAUACCCCUGAGUCUUGACGCUACCUACAGAAGAAGCUCCGGCUAACUCCGUGCCAGCAGCCGCGGUAAUACGGAGGGAGCGAGCGUUAAUCGGAAUUACUGGGCGUAAAGCGCACGUAGGCGGCUUUGUAAGUCGGAUGUGAAAGCCCCGGGCUUAACCUGGGAAUGGCAUUCGAUACUGCAUAGCUAGAGUAUGGUAGAGGGAAGUGGAAUUUCCGGUGUAGCGGUGAAAUGCGUAGAUAUCGGAAGGAACACCGAUGGCGAAGGCAACUUCCUGGGCCAAUACUGACGCUGAGGUGCGAAAGCGUGGGUAGCAAACAGGAUUAGAUACCCUGGUAGUCCACGCCGUAAACGAUGAGAACUAGAUGUCGGGAG
rnacentral:rRNA from 1 species